CGAGCGUUAUUCGGAAUUAUUGGGCGUAAAGGGCGCGUAGGCGGCUGAACACGUCAAAGGUGAAAUCCCUCGGCUCAACUGAGGAACUGCCUUUGAAACUGUUCGGCUUGAGGCCGGGAGGGGGUAGCGGAAUUCCCAGUGUAGCGGUGAAAUGCGUAGAUAUUGGGAGGAACACCAGUGGCGAAGGCGGCUACCUGGACCGGUUCUGACGCUGAGGCGCGAAAGCGUGGGUAGCAAACAGG
rnacentral:rRNA from 1 species